UACGUAGGGACCAAGCGUUGUUCGGAUUCUAGCUAGGGGCGUAAGGCGCGUAGGCGGCGCUGUAAGUCACUUGUGAAAUCUCCGGGCUUAACUCGGAACGGUCAAGUGAUACUGCAGUGCUAGAGUGCAGAAAGGGCAAUCGGAAUUCUUGGUGUAGCGGUGAAAUGCGUAGAUAUCAAGAGGAACACCUGAGGCGAAGGCGGGUUGCUAGGCUGACACUGACGCUGACAGCGCGAAAGCCAGGGGAGCAAACGGG
rnacentral:rRNA from 1 species